rnacentral:misc_RNA from 1 species
AAAAAAAAAAAAAAAAAAUGUUGCUGUUUUCUUUUUCAGCAUUGAAACUGUGCCCAAUAUUUUGCCUUUUUGAGCGUUGUGAUAAUAGUAAGUACCACUUAGUGGUCCCUCAUGCCCUUCAUUGCUCCUAAACUCAUUUUAAUAAACAUACUUUUGAUUUAGUUGGACUCAAUUGCAUGGAUUAUUUCCUCUAUUUAGGUUGGGCUUUCUAUUAGGUCUAAUAAUUUCUAACCAUUAUUCUUUUGUCUCUUUUCCCCUUUUCCAUGAUUGUCUCGUACUUGAGUCUGCUUACUUUUACUACUUUCUUGUUAUUUAUUUAUUUCUUUCCCUUUUUAAUCUCCCGCUACUUGAACCUGCUUACUUGUUUAUCUCUGCCAUGCAAAUAUAGUGCACCAUGAGAUAUUUAGUUCCUUGGCUUAAGUAAAAAAAUAGGACUAGAGGUAAAUACUUUGUGUAAGCCUAUAGGAUAUGGGUAGCAAUUCAACUCAACUCAACUCAAC